rnacentral:rRNA from 1 species
AUCGAACGCUGGCGGCAGGCCUAACACAUGCAAGUCGAGCGGAGCGGCGGACGGAUGAGUAAUGACUAGGUAUCUGCCUGGCAGUGGGGGACAACGUCAGGAAAGGGGCGCUAAUACCGCAUACUAUCAGAUGAGUCUAGGUCGGAUUAGCUAGGUGGUGGGGUAAAGGGCUACCAAGGCGACGAUCCGUAACUGGUCUGAGAGGAUGAUCAGUCACACUUGAACUGGGACACGGUCCAGACUACUACGAGAGGCAGCAGUGGGGAAUAUUGGACAAUGGGCGAAAGCCUGAUCCAGCCAUGCCGCGUGUGUGAAGAAGGUCUUCGGAUUGUAAAGCACUUUAAGUUGGGAGGCGUUACCAACAGAAUAAGCACCGGCUAACUUCGUGCCAGCAGCCGCGGUAAUAC